UUAAGGGCGCACGGUGGAUGCCUUGGCACUAGAAGCCGAUGAAGGACGUUACUAACGACGAUAUGCUUUGGGGAGCUGUAAGUAAGCUUUGAUCCAGAGAUUUCCGAAUGGGGAAACCCAGCAUGAGUUAUGUCAUGUUAUCGAUAUGUGAAUACAUAGCAUAUCAGAAGGCACACCUGGAGAACUGAAACAUCUUAGUACCCGGAGGAAGAGAAAGAAAAUUCGAUUCCCUUAGUAGCGGCGAGCGAAACGGGAAGAGCCCAAACCAACAAGCUUGCUUGUUGGGGUUGUAGGACACUCUAUACGGAGUUACAAAGGACGACAUUAGACGAAUCAUCUGGAAAGAUGAAUCAAAGAAGGUAAUAAUCCUGUAGUCGAAAAUGUUGUCUCUCUUGAGUGGAUCCUGAGUACGACGGAGCACGUGAAAUUCCGUCGGAAUCUGGGAGGACCAUCUCCUAAGGCUAAAUACUCUCUAGUGACCGAUAGUGAACCAGUACCGUGAGGGAAAGGUGAAAAGCACCCCGGAAGGGGAGUGAAACAGAACCUGAAACCGUGUGCUUACAAGUAGUCAGAGCCCGUUAAUGGGUGAUGGCGUGCCUUUUGUAGAAUGAACCGGCGAGUUACGAUUUGAUGCAAGGUUAAGCAGUAAAUGUGGAGCCGUAGCGAAAGCGAGUCUGAAUAGGGCGUUUAGUAUUUGGUCGUAGACCCGAAACCAGGUGAUCUACCCUUGGUCAGGUUGAAGUUCAGGUAACACUGAAUGGAGGACCGAACCGACUUACGUUGAAAAGUGAGCGGAUGAACUGAGGGUAGCGGAGAAAUUCCAAUCGAACCUGGAGAUAGCUGGUUCUCUCCGAAAUAGCUUUAGGGCUAGCCUCAAGUGAUGAUUAUUGGAGGUAGAGCACUGUUUGGACGAGGGGCCCCUCUCGGGUUACCGAAUUCAGACAAACUCCGAAUGCCAAUUAAUUUAACUUGGGAGUCAGAACAUGGGUGAUAAGGUCCGUGUUCGAAAGGGAAACAGCCCAGACCACCAGCUAAGGUCCCAAAAUAUAUGUUAAGUGGAAAAGGAUGUGGCGUUGCCCAGACAACUAGGAUGUUGGCUUAGAAGCAGCCAUCAUUUAAAGAGUGCGUAAUAGCUCACUAGUCGAGUGACACUGCGCCGAAAAUGUACCGGGGCUAAACAUAUUACCGAAGCUGUGGAUUGUCCUUUGGACAAUGGUAGGAGAGCGUUCUAAGGGCGUUGAAGCAUGAUCGUAAGGACAUGUGGAGCGCUUAGAAGUGAGAAUGCCGGUGUGAGUAGCGAAAGACGGGUGAGAAUCCCGUCCACCGAUUGACUAAGGUUUCCAGAGGAAGGCUCGUCCGCUCUGGGUUAGUCGGGUCCUAAGCUGAGGCCGACAGGCGUAGGCGAUGGAUAACAGGUUGAUAUUCCUGUACCACCUAUAAUCGUUUUAAUCGAUGGGGGACGCAGUAGGAUAGGCGAAGCGUGCGAUUGGAUUGCACGUCUAAGCAGUAAGGCUGAGUAUUAGGCAAAUCCGGUACUCAUUAAGGCUGAGCUGUGAUGGGGAGAAGACAUUGUGUCUUCGAGUCGUUGAUUUCACACUGCCGAGAAAAGCCUCUAGAUAGAAAAUAGGUGCCCGUACCGCAAACCGACACAGGUAGUCAAGAUGAGAAUUCUAAGGUGAGCGAGCGAACUCUCGUUAAGGAACUCGGCAAAAUGACCCCGUAACUUCGGGAGAAGGGGUGCUCUUUAGGGUUAACGCCCAGAAGAGCCGCAGUGAAUAGGCCCAAGCGACUGUUUAUCAAAAACACAGGUCUCUGCUAAACCGUAAGGUGAUGUAUAGGGGCUGACGCCUGCCCGGUGCUGGAAGGUUAAGAGGAGUGGUUAGCUUCUGCGAAGCUACGAAUCGAAGCCCCAGUAAACGGCGGCCGUAACUAUAACGGUCCUAAGGUAGCGAAAUUCCUUGUCGGGUAAGUUCCGACCCGCACGAAAGGCGUAACGAUUUGGGCACUGUCUCAACGAGAGACUCGGUGAAAUCAUAGUACCUGUGAAGAUGCAGGUUACCCGCGACAGGACGGAAAGACCCCGUGGAGCUUUACUGUAGCCUGAUAUUGAAAUUCGGCACAGCUUGUACAGGAUAGGUAGGAGCCUUUGAAACGUGAGCGCUAGCUUACGUGGAGGCGCUGGUGGGAUACUACCCUAGCUGUGUUGGCUUUCUAACCCGCACCACUUAUCGUGGUGGGAGACAGUGUCAGGCGGGCAGUUUGACUGGGGCGGUCGCCUCCUAAAAGGUAACGGAGGCGCUCAAAGGUUCCCUCAGAAUGGUUGGAAAUCAUUCAUAGAGUGUAAAGGCAUAAGGGAGCUUGACUGCGAGACCUACAAGUCGAGCAGGGUCGAAAGACGGACUUAGUGAUCCGGUGGUUCCGCAUGGAAGGGCCAUCGCUCAACGGAUAAAAGCUACCCCGGGGAUAACAGGCUUAUCUCCCCCAAGAGUUCACAUCGACGGGGAGGUUUGGCACCUCGAUGUCGGCUCAUCGCAUCCUGGGGCUGUAGUCGGUCCCAAGGGUUGGGCUGUUCGCCCAUUAAAGCGGUACGCGAGCUGGGUUCAGAACGUCGUGAGACAGUUCGGUCCCUAUCCGUCGUGGGCGUAGGAAAUUUGAGAGGAGCUGUCCUUAGUACGAGAGGACCGGGAUGGACAUACCUCUGGUGUACCAGUUGUCGUGCCAACGGCAUAGCUGGGUAGCUAUGUGUGGACGGGAUAAGUGCUGAAAGCAUCUAAGCAUGAAGCCCCCCUCAAGAUGAGAUUUCCCAACUUCGGUUAUAAGAUCCCUCAAAGAUGAUGAGGUUAAUAGGUUCGAGGUGGAAGCAUGGUGACAUGUGGAGCUGACGAAUACUAAUCGAUCGAAGACUUAAUCAA
rnacentral:rRNA from 1 species